rnacentral:rRNA from 1 species
AUACGGAGGAUGCGAGCGUUAUCCGGAUUUAUUGGGUUUAAAGGGUGCGUAGGCGGAUGAUUAAGCGUGAGGUGAAAUGCCACUGCUCAACAGUGGAACUGCCUCGCGAACUGGUUGUCUUGAAUGCUCCUGCCGUGGGAGGAAUGUGUGGUGUAGCGGUGAAAUGCAUAGAGAUCACACAGAACACCGAUUGCGAAGGCAUCUCACGAAGGGGUGAUUGACGCUGAGGCACGAAAGCGUGGGGAUCAAACAGGAUUAGAUACCCUGGUAGUCCACGCAGUAAACGAUGAUAACUAACCGCUGGGUCGUAGUGAUUCAGUGGCCAAGCGAAAGCGAUAAGUUAUCCACCUGGGGAGUACGACCGCAAGGUUGAAACUUAAAGGAAUUGACGGGG